UUAGCGGCGGACGGGUGAGUAACGCGUGGGCAACCUGCCUUACACAGGGGGAUAACAAUUAGAAAUGAUUGCUAAUACCGCAUAAGACCCCAGUACCGCAUGGUACAGAGGUAAAAACUGAGGUGGUGUAAGAUGGGCCCGCGUCUGAUUAGGUAGUUGGUGGGGUAGAAGCCUACCAAGCCGACGAUCAGUAGCCGACCUGAGAGGGCGACCGGCCACAUUGGGACUGAGACACGGCCCAAACUCCUACGGAAGGCAGCAG
rnacentral:rRNA from 1 species